CCUACGGGUGGCAGCAGUGAGGAAUAUUGGUCAAUGGACGAGAGUCUGAACCAGCCAAGUAGCGUGAAGGAUGACUGCCCUAUGGGUUGUAAACUUCUUUUAUAUGGGAAUAAAACGUUCCACGUGUGGGAUUUUGUAUGUACUAUAUGAAUAAGGAUCGGCUACCUCCGUGCCAGCAGCCGCGGUAAUACGGAGGAUCCGAGCGUUAUCCGGAUUUAUUGGGUUUAAAGGGAGCGUAGGUGGAUUGUUAAGUCAGUUGUGAAAGUUUGCGGCUCAACCGUAAAAUUGCAGUUGAAACUGGCAGUCUUGAGUACAGUAGAGGUGGGCGGAAUUCGUGGUGUAGCGGUGAAAUGCUUAGAUAUCACGAAGAACUCCGAUUGCGAAGGCAGUUCACUGGACUGCAACUGACACUGAGGCUCGAAAGUGUGGGUAUCAAACAGGAUUAGAUACCCAGGUAGUC
rnacentral:rRNA from 1 species